rnacentral:rRNA from 3 species
AAAACUUUCAACAACGGAUCUCUUGGUUCCGGCAUCGAUGAAGAACGCAGCGAAAUGCGAUACGUAAUGUGAAUUGCAAAUUCAGUGAAUCAUCGAGUCUUUGAACGCACAUUGCGCCCCCUGGUAUUCCGGGGGGCAUGCCUGUCCGAGCGUCAU